GUUAUAACCUAUGCGCGUUCAAACUUUAAAAGAAAUAGAAUAUAAUAAAAUCUAUAAAUAUACUGUAUAACUUAAUAGAAUUUGGAGCAUUUUGCCAUCAAAAGGGGAAAAAAACAAAAUAAAAGAAGAUUUUUAUACAUGGCGAGAAGACUGGCAAAGGACAUCGCGAUGAGAUAACGUUCGCCCCCGUAUUAACCAAGGUGAUAUGCAUGGGAUAAAAAUAGUGCGGCAAUAACAAAAUUUUACAUGACGACAAUGGGUGCCGUUUUCGUGCGUUAUCACGCAAUAAAUUUAUAGCGGGAUGGCGAAGAUGAAGGAAAACAGGGUUAGCUUCGUGACAGAUCCUUGUCCCAUCAAACCUCGUAAGAUUGGCCCGCAAAAUGUGGUGGUUCGCCUAAGACAGAGGGAAACGAUGGGCUGCCCUUUCCCAGGCACGCACGUACAUAGCGCGAGGCAAUUUUAUCAAAAUGUUUUUCCCAACUUUACCGUGAUGAACGUGGAGAAACCGCCGUGUUUCCUCCGUAAGUUCAGCCCGGAUGGAAAGUACUUAGUGGCAUUUAGCGCGGAUCAAACGUCUAUCGAGGUAUACCAAUAUUGCGGGGCUUCGGCGGCCGCGGACUUGUUGGCCGAUUGCGAAGGCGAAUAUAUCGGCAACAAGAACGACGACUGUAGCUUUCACAUAAGAAGUAAUAUCUUCGCGCGAUUUUUCAAGGUAAAAUGGAUUAUAAAUGUAGUACAAAGCAACGAGCAAUUGAACAGAGAAUGCAGUCUUUUCACAGACGACGCGCGGUAUGUAAUUGUGGGUUCAGCUGCUCAUAUUCCUGAAGAAUUGAGACCACACUUUUAUCAGAUUUAUUCCAAUAAUGAGGCAUUGACUCCGAAUCCUCGAUCUCCGCUUGAAGAUUAUAGCUUGCAUCUUGUCGAUUUACGUGGUGGAAAGUUAUGUGACACUAGACAUUUUAAAGUUGACAAAAUUUAUUUAUCGCAUAAUCAAGGUCUUUAUUUAUACAAAGAUAUAUUAGCAGUCUUAUCGGUACAGCAUCAAACUAUACAUAUCUUUCAAAUUUUGGAUGGCAUGUUUAUAAAUGUCAGGACAAUAGGAAGGUUUUGUAUGGAAGAUGAUGCAUAUUUAGUUACGAGCGCUUUUCCUGGAAUCAAUUGCAGACCAUUUAAAGACAUUGCAAUAAAUAGUCUUAAGCAUAGGUUAUUAGUAUAUUUGUACAAACGAGCGAAAUAUAUAAGCAAUGCAACAAAGGAUCCAUAUGAAUUGAGAAGAUUUUAUCAAUAUUUUGACCAGCUAAAUUCACUACGUAUGUGGAAAAUGCAGUUGUUGGAUACAAAUCACAUCUUGGUGAGAUACGCGAGCGAAGAGGUAGCGACCUUGCAAGCAAACGAACCAAAUGCACAGCCUGCACUGUUGGUAGUUUACGAUAUGGUUACGGCAAAGAUUUUGGCGGCGUAUGACAAUGCAUCAACUCAACUAUUAACACUAUUUGAAAACUUCAGCGAUUUUUUUAGAAAUGCCAGAAUGAGCACGGAUUGUCAAUAUAUGUGUUCACCAUCUAAUAAUAUAUAUGCCAGAUUGUUACAGCAAAGAUUCAAACAAACGAUAAUAAGCGCUAGAUACGGUGGCAUUACCGAAGCCACGAAAAGAUUACUCGCUCAAUUACCGAUAUGCGCUCAGUCCUAUUCCAGUUCUCCAUACCUCGACUUAUCAUUGUUUUGCUACGACGAUAAAUGGGUAUCUAUGAUGGAACGCCCUAAAGCAUGCGGGGAACAUCCGAUACGUUUCUAUGCACGCGACUCGGGCCUCUUAAAAUUUAGAAUGUAUGCCGGUAUGUUGGGACGAACAACACCAACGACCGCAAGACGAUUGGUCGCAUUCACGUUCCAUCCGACAGAUCCGUUCGCAAUUUCGGUCCAACGUACUAAUGCAGAAUAUAUCGUCAGUUUUCAUGUCAGGCACGUUUGAAGCAUUUCUUUUCUUUGACAUGUGUACAUCUUGAUGUAAUGUCAAUGGAAUUUCUCAUUAAAAUUUGAGAGAAAAAGAGAAAGGAAGAGAUUGCUAUUGCUAAAGUACAAAACGGAUCUUAUAUUUCAAGUAAAAAUAUGAUCACAAAGUGAUAGGAAAGCUACAUCGGAUUCAAAGACUUUGUUAUUUACUGCUAGCAAAUAGCCUGGAGCAUACUCACCUACGCGGAAAAUUUCUCAGAAACGACAACAGAAUUCUUUCACGCCCACGAAAAUCCGAAGUCCUUUCCACCGGAUCUUCCCUUUUUCCAAACCCAAUCGCUGUGGAAAUGUAC